rnacentral:rRNA from 1 species
CGUGGGUAACCUGCCUUGUACUGGGGGAUAGCAGCUGGAAACGGCUGGUAAUACCGCAUAAGCGCACAAUGUUGCAUGACAUGGUGUGAAAAACUCCGGUGGUAUAAGAUGGGCCCGCGUCUGAUUAGCUAGUUGGUGAGAUAACAGCCCACCAAGGCGACGAUCAGUAGCCGACCUGAGAGGGUGACCGGCCACAUUGGGACUGAGACACGGCCCAG